AUUGUGCAAUGGUUACAAAACAUACCUCAUACUGAUGGGAUAUCCUCAUGAACGACUCCUAUACACCUGUUGAUUCUGAGCACCU
rfam:Triticum aestivum genome assembly, contig: Triticum_aestivum_CS42_TGACv1_scaffold_049609_1BS